UACGUAGGUGGCAAGCGUUGUCCGGAAUUAUUGGGCGUAAAGCGCGCGCAGGCGGUCCUUUAAGUCUGAUGUGAAAGCCCACGGCUCAACCGUGGAGGUCAUUGGAAACUGGGGGACUUGAGUACAGAAGAGAAGAGUGGAAUUCCACGUGUAGCGGUGAAAUGCGUAGAGAUGUGGAGGAACACCAGUGGCGAAGGCGACUCUUUGGUCUGUAACUGACGCUGAGGCGCGAAAGCGUGGGGAGCAAACAGG
rnacentral:rRNA from 1 species